rnacentral:pre_miRNA from 1 species
GUACGUUUGUGUGUGAAUUGUGUUCAGCACCAAGGACAGGUACGUUUGUGUGUGAAUAGUGUUCAGCACCAAGGACAGGUACGUUUGUGU